GACGAACGCUGGCGGCGUGCUUAAACACAUUGCAAGUCGAACGGAGUGCCCGUGAUAGAGGUUUCGGCCAAAUUGAAUGGGUUACUUAGUGGCGGACUGGUGAGUAACGCGUGAGGAACCCUGCCUUUCAGAGGGGGACAACAGUUGGAAACGACUGCUAAUACCGCAUGACGCAUGACCGGGGCAUCCCGGAUAUGCCAAAGAUUUAUCGCUGAAAGAUGGCCUCGCGUCUGAUUAGAUAGUUGGCGGGGUAACGGCCCACCAAGUCGACGAUCAGUAGCCGGACUGAGAGGUUUUUGACCGG
rnacentral:rRNA from 1 species